CCUACGGGGGGCAGCAGUGGGGAAUAUUGGGCAAUGGAGGCAACUCUGACCCAGCAAUGCCGCGUGAGUGAUGAAGGUAAUUUUAUUGUAAAGCUCUUUUCUUUGGAACGAAUAAAUGACGGUACCAAAGGAAUAAGCCCCGGCUAACUACGUGCCAGCAGCCGCGGUAAUACGUAGGGGGCAAGCGUUGUUCGGAAUGACUGGGCGUAAAGGGUGUGUAGGUGGUUUGAUAAGUUAGAUGUGUAAUACCCAGGGCUUAACUCGGGUGCUGCAUCUAAAACUGUUAGACUUGAGUACUGGAGAGGAUAGUGGAAUUCCUAGUGUAGCGGUGGAAUGCGUAGAUAUUAGGAGGAACAUCAGUGGCGAAGGCGACUAUCUGGACAGCAACUGACACUGAGGCACGAAAGCGUGGGGAGCAAACAGGAUUAGAUACCCCGG
rnacentral:rRNA from 1 species